UACGGAGGGUGCAAGCGUUAUCCGGAUUCACUGGGUUUAAAGGGUGCGUAGGUGGGUUGGUAAGUCAGUGGUGAAAUCUCCAGGCUUAACUUGGAAACUGCCAUUGAUACUAUCAACCUUGAAUACCGUGGAGGUCAGCGGAAUAUGUCAUGUAGCGGUGAAAUGCUUAGAUAUGACAUAGAACACCAAUUGCGAAGGCAGCUGGCUACACGAAUAUUGACACUGAUGCACGAAAGCGUGGGGAUCAAACAGG
rnacentral:rRNA from 1 species